rnacentral:rRNA from 1 species
GGGUAAUGACGGGGCCGCAGCGAGGGUAAUACGUAGGUGGCGAGUGGUGGCCGGAAUUAAUGGGCGGAAAGGGAGCGCAGGUGGGAAUGUAAGUCAAUCUUAAAAGUGCGGGGCUCAACCCCGUGAUGGGAUAGAAACUACAUUUCUUGAGUGCAGGAGAGGAAAGUGGAAUUCCUAGUGUAGCGGUGAAAUGUGUAGAUAUUAGGAGGAACACCAGUGGCGAAGGCGACUUUCUGGACUGUUACUGACACUGAGGCUCGAAAGCUAGGGGAGCGAACGGGAUUAGAUACCCUGGUAGUC